rnacentral:snoRNA from 1 species
GUACCUCAAAAAAAAUUAUAUGGGCAGGUCCACAUGGGCCUUCCAUAGUGUGCCAUGCGAGAGCAAAGUGCGCCUUGAACCAUUGCCGGGCCUCUGCUUUGGGCUGAGAGCACUGAAGGGGGCGAGACAGUG